rnacentral:siRNA from 1 species
UACAUAAAUAUCUUGCUUGCACA